rnacentral:lncRNA from 1 species
CAGCCAUAAUAAUACCAUGGAGCUUGACAGCUUGUGAGGUCAAAUAAGUUUAUGGAAACUGUACUCUGGGAGAGAGAGAGAGAGAGGUAUAGAGAGAGAGAGAGACUGCUUUCACUCUAAUUGUUUUGCAUUGACAAGAAAAUCCCGACUUUACAUCAGCUACCUGCAAGAUUUCUUUUUUUUGGGUUCAUUUUUCAUUUUUCUUUUAUCCUCUGUUUUAAGGGGAAAAGGUAUUGAGUUCAGAAGUUUGCAGUGUUCUCUGCAAAUUUCACCAAAAACCUCAAAAUUGAGUAUCUGCAGUGACGGAGCCAAAACUUUUUCUAUGAAAGGACAAAUUAAUAAUAAAUACUGAAAUUUUUUAAUAUAAUUUUUUUUUAAUUUAAUUAACAUAACUUGAAGUUUUGAAUGAUUAUUCAUCCUUAAAAAAUUUAUACUUGAAAUAUUUUUAUAAUAACGUGUUAAUUUAAUUGAUGAACCUAGUGGUUUUAUUAUUAUUAUUAAUGUCUUCAUAAUAAUUAACACAAUAAUAAAGUCAGUUGAAUUGCAUAAUAAUUCUAAAUCUUUCAUAUGAUAUUCGUAUCAAAAUACACAUCAAUUUAUCAAAACUCAUUUCAAUUAUAUAUAUAUAUAUAUAUAUAUAUAUAUAUAUAUUGAUUAAAUUAUACUUAAUCAGUUUUAGACAUUUUAAUUAUUUCUACACACACACAUACAAAAGUUGUACAAACUUACUAAGUCAAAUAUGUGAAACAAGUUUUAAUAUUAUACUCUAGUUUCAAAUAAGAGAAAAUACUAAGAGAGAGAAAGUGUAACUUAUGGAAUUUAAAUCCAUACCCUCUUCUAACUCAAUACCCGUAAAAAUGAAAGGAAAAUAUUCUUAUAGAUGUUCUUAAGAUAAUUUUUUGUGAUAGAUCAUUUCUUUUUCUUCUUUUUUCAAUUAUAAAAAAUGAUGUCUUUAAACACAUUUUCUUUUUCUUUUUUUCUUAUAAAAUCAGUGUAAUUUCUUAUUACUGAAUACACCUUGAGUUUUGUUUUUUAUAUCAAAUCAUACUUUUCGAUUUUUGUUUUAUUAUUUCUAUAUGAGCAUAAUAUCAAAGAAAAAAUAACAAUUAUGUCUUCCUAUCCUUUCCGAUUCAUGUAAUGGAUAAAAAACAGGAUGAUUUUUCUAAUGCCCGAAAAAAAAAAGAUUUUUAUUAUUUCAUAUGCACCAGGUAUUUUACUAGACGAAGAAGGUGCCACGCGGGAUAUUGAAGAUCAGAUUGCUCAGUGUGACAAAGAUAUUGAGACAAUUUUGAAGGGUAUUUUUCUUGGUUUUUUGAGUCGCUGCAUUUUCUAUUUUUAAACUUGUCUCCUAUUUUAGCAGCAUGUUUAUUUUUAAUUUUUAUAUAUAUAUAUAUAUUUAUUUAUUUUUAAUUGUUGACAAUAAAAUAAAUAAUUUUAAGACUUACUAUCAUAAUUUUGAAUCUCCGAAAAAACACUUGGUUUUUAAUUAAAUAAAAUAAUAGCUUGAAUACCCUUUCUUCUUCUGCCUCUCUGAGUAGUUUGAAGUUGAAGAUAUUAAACAAACAUCUUGGAAACUAUGAAAAAAUAUGCAAGAACAUUGUCAAUCAGAAAGAGACUAAUUUAUACCAGCGAUGCUUUUGCUGAAAUUCAAACCCAAUUCUUGAUGUGUCUGCUUCAGAAAAGAUCCCACUUAGUCCUCCCUGUAAAAGAAUGCCACAUUGGAUUUGCCACCAGCCAUAAUAAUACCAUGGAGCUUGACAGCUUGUGAGGUCAAAUAAACUUAUGGAAACCGUACUCUGGGAGAGAGAGAGGUAGAGAGAGGGGGGGAGAGAGAGAGAGGGAGGGGGAGAGAGAGAGACUGCUUUCACUCUAAUUUUUUUGCAUUGACAAGAAAAUCCCGACUUUACAUCUGCUACCUGCAAGAUUUCUUUUUUUGGGUUCAUUUUUCAUUUUUCUUUUAUCCUCUGUUUAAAGGAAAAAGGUAUCGAGUUCAG